rnacentral:lncRNA from 1 species
UUAAACAUAAGUAAGAAGAUCUAAGAAAAUCAAUCCAAGGUAACAAAAUAACUCUCAACAUUUCAUGAUCAUUUGACUAAACAAACUUCAAUAACUUUACAAAAAAAUAUUUAUAAGUUUCAAAUUUGUUAAUUGAUUAAAUGAUUAUUUUUUAAGCUAACAAGUUAUUAUAAAACAAAACUGCCAGGCUAUGGAUUGGAACAUGAAGAAAAUCCGAAAAUAUAAUGACAGUUAGUGCGGUUUAAAAGAGGGAACCGUCUCUUCCAAACAAGAGCGGAUUCCCGCUUCACUUCUUGGUCAGCCCACACAGCCUGCAAAUAUUUACCCUUUUUCUGGAUUCUUUCACUUUUUAUUUUCUUUUAAUUGAGAUCAAAACCUGGUAGAUGUCACAUUCAACACAAGAAUUAUUAAAACUUAAUCAAUGGUGAUGGCAAUCCACCCACAAGAAAAAAAUGUUGUAGGAGUUCAAAUGAUGAAGCAAGGUUUGAGAUUUCUUAGCAAACAAAUCUUUAAAUUCCUGGAACUAACCUGUCGAUAAAGUUUCCCAACAUUGAACCUUUUCCUGUGAUUGUAGGCGGAGUUGAUGAGAACAAGGAGGUGGCAGUGCAACUUCAGGUUGGUGAAGGUGAUUUCUCACUGUUAGGACCCAGAAACUACGGACACU